GUGCCAGCCGCCGCGGUAAUACAGAGGGUGCGAGCGUUGUCCGGAAUCACUGGGCGUAAAGGGCGCGUAGGCGGCUUGGCAAGCGUGCGGUGAAAGCUCUGGGCUCAACCCCGAGUCUGCCGUGCGAACUGCCGGGCUUGAGCACAGUAGAGGCAGAUGGAAUUCCGGGUGUAGCGGUGGAAUGCGUAGAGAUCCGGAAGAACACCGGUGGCGAAGGCGGUCUGCUGGGCUGUGUCUGACGCUGAGGCGCGACAGCGUGGGGAGCAAACAGGAUUAGAAACCCUUGUAGUCC
rnacentral:rRNA from 1 species